CCUUGGUGAUGACGGUGCCUGGCCUCACCAGCUCCUGGAAAUGCCCCGUCCGCCGCCACUCACCUAACGGCACAGGCACCGAGCGCCAAGCACGUCAGCCGAAGCAUGUGGGCUGCGGGUCGGGAGUGAGGGGCACCGGCAGAGCUUGAGGGGCAGGGCUGGGCUAGCAGGGGCUGCGGGUCGGGAGUGAGGGGCACCGGCAGAGCUUGGGGGGCAGGGCUGGGCUAGCCAGGGGCUGCGGGUCGGGAGUGAGGGGCACUGGCCGCCCUGCGGGAUGAAACACUCGCUCCCUUGGGACAGGGCCGAUCCUGGGGCGCUGGAGCUCUGGCUCCCCCUUGUGGACAGUUUUGGGAACCACAACCGGCUCCAGCUGCCAUGUUAAAUCCACCCACCCAGGUGCAGACUCAGAGCCCAGCCAGGCCCAGCACGCUCCCUUCCGGCCCUGCAGAGCCCCUGCCCAGCACGGAGCCCCAUCCCCGGGGCCUGGCUGCGGCCUGUGCUCCUCCCGCUAACCAGCCGGGCUGGCCCCUCCAGCACGUUCCUGCCGCCAGCUAAAUGCCCGCCCGGUGCCUGUUUGUACCUGGCAGGCACCAGCCCGCGGUUUCUGGCCGGCUUUUCCCCCUGAGCCCUCAUUGCCUGGUUCGUGACCCUCCUGGUUCCUUUGGAGGAGCGAAGCCAAGUUUGCUCGCGCUGCCGGGCACGGUUCUUCCAUCCCCGGAUCCCUUCUGGGCCUGGCCCUGCACCCGCCCCUGAUCUUUUGCUUUAAUCUCCUUCUGCGGCAUGCUGGGGCUGGUGCCUUGUCCCCCAGGAAUCCUGCUGCAAGGGUGGGGGGCCUCUGGGGCAACCAUCUCCCCUCCUCCCCCGCACCUGCCGAGUCUACACCAUGUCCCGGCCCUAGAGCCAUUUGCCCCCAGAUGUGGGAGUUGCUCUUGACUUUGGUGUCACAGACUCACAGGACUCAUGCUCUCUCUCGGCUCCGUACGGUCCCUGGGGGAAAGCCCCUUCAGUGCGACAGCCCUUCUUGGGGGUCCACUCUUGGGCUUAAGGCGUAGGCCCCUUUGCCUCCUGGAACCACACCCCUCUGAGCCCUCAGCACGUCUCUCAUUGCGGGCCCCCUCAGGGAGUCCACUCGCUCUGGACCCCCGGCGCCUCCACUCCUAGAGGGAGCAAAGCAACCCUGGUCUCUAGCCUGCAGUGACUCUCAGCCAGCGUCACACAGGAGGUCUGCCUGCUCUCUCCUCCCAGCCCCUGCUUUUUCCUCCUCCCCUCCUUCCAGCUGCGCAUCUGAUAUCACUGUCCCCCAAGUCCUGCCUCUGUCCUUUGUCUUCUCUCCCAGGUAAACAGGUCGCCUGGGCCUCCUUUCCUCUCAGCCUCUUCUCUCAUCCGUCCUUUGUUUCCCCUCUGGCUGUUACCGGCUGGUCAGGUCACCGGGGUCCUCUCUCCGCAGCCCAUUGUCCUCCCACUGGCCAGAACCGGCUGUGACUCCUGAGCUGGGCCUCCCGGUGACCAGUCUCUGGGGUGUCCAUUCUCCAGGCCGUUUGCUGGUCCUCUGUAACCAGAAACUCCCUCCCCUACCACCUUGUUAAACAAGUAACACCCAGGGAAACUGAGUCCCACCCCCUCUGCAUGCAAACCAUUGAAAACAACAAGAAACCCACCUGCUUCGUCACACUUGGCCAGCCCCCGCCAGGGGAUCAGAGGCCAUUCCCGGUGCUGCCCAGCACUGCCAGCUGUGGCCGGUACAUUUCCAUGCCCCAGGCUGGCUGAGCGCCACCAUUCCCUGUAGGGCUGCAGCUGUGAGACUGCCCUGUGGUUCCUUCUGCGAGCCCCUGGGUUUUUGUCUCUCUCAGGCUCUGGCAGCAGGGGCAGGGUCCAUCUGGACCGUGACUGCAGACUGUCAAUAACUCUCAGCGCAGUGGGCAAGGACACGACGGAAGCGAGUCUUGUGCCAAUGUCUCAGAAGGGUAAACGGGACCCUGGGGUAAUUCUAGACCAGCCAGUCUGACACUGAUCCCAGCAAAGUAAUAGGAUGGCCGACACAGGCCUGGGCUCUCCAGCGCUAAGGGGAUGACGAAAUGAAUCUUGCCAAGCUUUCUGGAUACCUUCUUUGCCAAGUUUGGCCGAUAGAGACCAGAGUGCUGAGGUGUGGGAACUUUAACAGGCCUUCGCCUUGGUGCCACAUGGCAUUUUGAUUGAGAAGCUAGAACGAUGCACAAUUAACGUGGUCUACAGUAAAUGGAUUAGAAACAGGCGGACAGGCGUCAAGGGACUGUCCGGUUUGGCCGAUGUACAUAGCAGACGGGCAUUGCUGGCACAUGAUGGCGUAUAUUACAUUGGUGGACGUGCAGGUUCUCCUCACCAGCACCACCCUCCAGAUGAGAUUCUCGCCGCCAGCGGAGGAACAUGUGCAGGCUCCCAACCGCCAGCAGUUCCAGUGUCCCCACUGACAUUGAAACCGUUGUGACAAAGUAUCUCCUGGAAUGUUCAAUCCCACAUGUCCCAGUGACAGAAAUACGUCCUCACUGGGCUGGGGAACAGGGCUGGCCGUCUCGUCAGCUUGGCGAGAAUCCCUCACGCAAGCAAUGGAAGGAACUGAACUGAAGCCCUGCUAGGAGCCUGGAAUUUUCUCCUCGAGUGACAACCUACGACCGAUGCAGGCACGUGGAACGGCAAUGCCAGUUUCCUGCUGUAACUGUGCCAAGCCUCAGCUAGCUCCAAGCCUCGCCCGUCAGUGGCUGCCUGCCUGAGCGCACUUGGAAGCCGAAGCACGGCUGUGUCAGGGAUUUUUGGUGCCCUCCCUCUUUUUCUUCACAAACGGGAUGUAACAAGUCAGGUGGCUCUGCCCUUCAGCAGUUAUGUGGUAAUUCACACCAGCAAAACAAACACUUGUUCUGUGGUCAAAGGCGGCUGCCUUUGUUCUCUGUUCGUUGAUCUCAAAGGCAAUUGCAGAGUCUCUGCUUAGGGAGCAUUUCUGGACAAAACCACACAGCAUCUCCAGGCCAUCGGUGUCACAGAACCAGACUGUCUAGUAGGGCAGACACUGGUGUCUUUUACUGGGAUCGCUGCACUCACCACACGUGUUCCAUCAGUUGCAGACGCGCUUGCUUUCUGUAACCAGUGGAUUUUGCCUUUGUCAGCGGGUUGGGCACAGCGAUUUCUGUGCCACGCAACUGGUACUGUCUGUUCUGAAUGGAAGACGGACUCCGUUCUGUCAAUGGUCUCGCUGCAUUUGACAUCAUGCAGUUUCUUUCUACUGGCUGUUGCCUCCUUAUUCUAUGCAAUCACACACGUCUUCUUUACUCAAGAAAUAAAAUAAUGGUAAAUAAUGCAGUGACUGCAGGAAACUGGCAUGGCUCUCUUGAGAUUUACAACUGGUUCCAUGGUUUACCUUCAACUGGACCCAAUCCGAGUGGCAUAAACCACCACCUCAUCUAACUCCAUCCCCAUCACAUCUAUGUUAAUUCUAGUCUAACUACAAAGCCUCGUGUACAAUAAAACAAACACUAAGCAUGUGAGAAAAUGAGAAAAUGAUUUCACAUAUUACAGGAAAAAGAACUUUUUUCUGUGUCAUGAUUAACAUAGUUCAAAUGUUCCGAGAGGCAGAUGACUAAACACUGUGAGAAGUUGCAAUCACGGUGCAAUAGGUGUUAAGAUCAUGGUGCGUGUCAUCUCAUUUCUGGUCUGAAUAGACUGAGCAGGAGUUAUGCCAAACCCUUUGAUUUUGCUGACAAGUUCCCGCACACAGGGCUGACAAAUCAGCCAUUGCUGGUGAAUGUUGGUGACCAUAUGUAUAUGCAUGGGCCUAAACACCAAACAUUUGUCUUGGUAACAGCCGGGUUUGAAAACAGGAGGGUCAAAUGAUGUUGGAAAAAGUUACCACCAAACUUUUAACUAAAACUACUUCUGGAGCCCUGGGACCCGUAUUCCCACCCUACACACUAUUGUAAUAAUCAAACCCCUUAGAGAGGUCAAUUCUGAGGUUUCUGUCUAGUCUAUUCGUGGUUAAAAUUGUUCAGGGUGAAGUUUGGCUCUCCUGCAAGGGUUGAGCCAAACUGAUGAGCCAAAGAAGUUGACAGGUGCUUGGGGCUCUCUUGCAAACCAGCGGGGCUGCUAUGUCCGCAGUGGGGUGACUCAAGGUGACAUGCUUUGGCCAUUGAACUUGAACAGCACUCGCAUGGCAUGAGUUUGAGCCUGGCCCUGUGCAGUGUCCAGAGAAUGUGUCUUGGGUAUAACCCUUGAAUUCCGCAGGAGCGCCUUCAGGAAGCUUUGCCCUUUGACCCGAGUUUCUGGAAUAAAAGGCGAUAUUUCAACGACUCCAAAAUCCACCUCGGACCCUGAUUCUCCUUCACAAACACUGACUAAGAAAGCACCCAGGAGCCAGCAAAGAGAAGAUGAAAGACUUGGGAAGCAGUCUGGUCACAGUUCCGGUCGCCCUGUCUCAACAAAGCUGCAGAAGAACUGGAAACAUUGCAGGGAAGGGCAAUGAAAAUGAUGGGGGGGGAUGAAACAGCUUCCAUAGGAGGCAAAAUUAAAAAGACUGGGACUGUUUAGCUUAGAAAAGAGACAACUCAGGGGGGAUAUGAUAGAGGUCUACAAAGCAUCACUGGUGUGGAGAAAGUGACUAGGGAGGUGUUGUUUAUCCCUUCACAGAUCACAAGAACUAGGGGUCCCCUGAUGAAAUUGACAGGCAGCAGAUUUAAAACAAACAAAAGGAAAUAGUUCACACAAAAUACAGUCAACUUUUGGAACUCGCUGCCAGGGGAUGUUGUAUGUACGUGAAACAGCGAUUAGGUGAAGAGGGUAAAGGCCUAAGUGCAUU